rnacentral:rRNA from 1 species
ACGUAGGGUGCGAGCGUUAAUCGGAAUUACUGGGCGUAAAGUGCGCGUAGGCGGCCUGAUAAGUCGAUUGUGAAAUCCCCGGGCUCAACCUGGGAAUUGCAGUCGAUACUGUCAGGCUAGAGUGUGGGAGAGGGUGGUGGAAUUCCCGGUGUAGCGGUGAAAUGCGUAGAUAUCGGGAGGAACAUCAGUGGCGAAGGCGACCGCCUGGCCUAACACUGACGCUGAGGUGCGAAAGCGUGGGUAGCAAACAGGA